rnacentral:rRNA from 1 species
GAUGAACGCUGGCGGCGUGCCUAAUACAUGCAAGUCGAGCGAACAGACGAGGAGCUUGCUCCUCUGACGUUAGCGGCGGACGGGUGAGUAACACGUGGAUAACCUACCUAUAAGACUGGGAUAACUUCGGGAAACCGGAGCUAAUACCGGAUAAUAUAUUAAACCGCAUGGUUCAAUAGUGAAAGACGGUUUUGCUGUCACUUAUAGAUGGAUCCGCGCCGCAUUAGCUAGUUGGUAAGGUAACGGCUUACCAAGGCAACGAUGCGUAGCCGACCUGAGAGGGUGAUCGGCCACACUGGAACUGAGACACGGUCCAGACUCCUACGGGAGGCAGCAGUAGGGAAUCUUCCGCAAUGGGCGAAAGCUUGGCGGAGCAACGCCGCGUGAGUGAUGAAGGUCUUCGGAUCGUAAAACUCUGUUAUUAGGGAAGAACAAAUGUGUAAGUAACUAUGCACGUCUUGACGGUACCUAAUCAGAAAGCCACGGCUAACUACGUG